UGAGAUGAGAAUAUAAAAAGCCCAUUUCUCUCUCCCACAGAUGUUGAUGGAGAAGAGUUGACGCCUUGCCUUCUUCAGACAGAAGAUGUGGGUUCUGCUGACGGUGAAGAGCAGUCCGUGACAACCCCAGUCCAGGCCAUGAAAAGCAGCCUUGAAAAAGCCGAUUCCAGAACCGAAUCCAGUCUGGCCGAGGGGACGAGUGAAGAUGCCGAGUUUGAAUCUGUGGAUAAUUCCUCACUGCUUGCAGAGGCCAACUUCCUGUCCCCUUCCCUGGAAGGAGCUCCCUCAAGUCUCCUGCCUCCGGGGACCCAGGACCUCACACCAGGCUCCGAGAUCCGUCAGACAAGUAUCUGCUCCAGUUCCUGAGGAUCGGGGCCAAAGAGGCUCCGACCCUUUGCUUUGCACUCCGACCGGCACACGCCCACCACAGGCCUUGCUCUCCCAGGGAAGCAUCUCUUCCCAGCUUGUGUUUACAUUCCAACUUCUCUUCCCACCCCCUUCCCGGUUGCCCUAAACCACCUCACCCGGAGACACUGUAAUGAAAAAUAAAAGUUUACCUGCUAACA